rnacentral:sRNA from 1 species
UAGGAACCUGAAUUCAUUGCGUAAAGCACAUCUACUUUCCAAACCAUUUGAGAGCCUUAAGUUGGAGAGUAGGAAAAAAAGAUGGAUAAUGGAGAAAGAAAUACCAAGGAAGACUAUUUUUGACAUGAAGAGUAUUUCUGGAGAAGAAUCAUCUCAUGGAGUGAUUAUGACAAGGCUUACCGAAAGUGGACACCCUUCUUCAGAUGUCUGGAAAGAUCAUUCACACAGGAGAGAAACCCUAUAAAUGCAGUGAAUGUGGGAGAUUCUUCAACCGACGUACAAACCUUACUAAGCAUCAAAAACUUCAUGCUGAAGUAAAGGCCUGCACAAGCAAUAAAUGUGGAAAAGCCGUCAGUAAAAGUGAAGACGGUAAUAAUCCAGCACUCCAUUUUGGAAACAAUUUCUAUGAAUGUGUUAACUGUGGAAAAUCCUUCAACCGCAGCUCCUCUCUUAUUCGACACCAAAUGAUUCAUACAGGAGAGAAACCAUUCAAAUGUAAGGAAUGUAAUAAAGCCUUCAACAGGAGUUCAAACCUUGUUAAACAUCAAAAACUGCAUACUCGAGAUAAGUCCUGAAA